rnacentral:rRNA from 1 species
AGAGUUUGAUCAUGGCUCAGGAUGAACGCUAGCUACAGGCUUAACACAUGCAAGUCGAGGGGCAGCAUGUUGGUUGCUUGCAACCAACGAUGGCGACCGGCGCACGGGUGAGUAACGCGUAUCCAACCUACCCUUGUCCAUCGGAUAACCCGUCGAAAGGCGGCCUAACACGAUAUGCGGUUCACAGCAGGCAUCUAACGUGAACGAAAUGUGAAGGAGAAGGAUGGGGAUGCGUCUGAUUAGCUUGUUGGCGGGUAACGGCCACCAAGGCUACGAUCAGUAGGGGUUCUGGAGAGGAAGGUCCCCAGACUUGGAACUGAGACACGGUCCAAACUCCUACGGGAGCA